CUCGGUCCUCGGUAGUGGCUCUCAGGAUCUCGACAAGCUCGAUCGCCGAAAUCCCUGCGGGCCUCGAUCGAAGACCGGA
rfam:Nocardioides sp. PD653 DNA, contig: 43.